GAUGAAGAACGCAGCGAAAUGCGAUAAGUAGUGUGAAUUGCAGAAUUCCGUGAAUCAUCGAAUCUUUGAACGCACAUUGCGCCUCCUGGUAGUCCGGGAGGCAUGCCUGUUCGAGCGUCACCAAAUCCAACUCAAGCGGUUUUGCGCUUGGACGUGGCGGAAGAGUCGGUCUGGUUGCCGUCUCCCCUCCGAAAAUCAACGGCGGAAAGUCACUGGCAGUCAGCGUAGUAGUAUCGUUCGCCGAACAUCCAGUGGCAUUCCUGCCGACGUACCCCCACAAUUCUCGUGAUUGACCUCGGAUCAGGUAGGGAUACCCGCUGAACUUAAGCAUAUCAAUAAGCGGAGGA
rnacentral:misc_RNA from 1 species